rnacentral:rRNA from 1 species
AUGCAGUGUAAAGAUGCUUGUACUCAUAUUAAGUACCUUGCGGAUUGUGGUGAUGAGUCAUGUCAAGGAUGCUAUGGUGAAGAGGAUCAUUGUCUACUUCUUGAAGGUUUGGCGGGCGCUACAAAUUUAGAGCUGAUAAGUCAAUAUUCUGUGAUUUUCAGAAAAGACUUGAAAUGGUGCCCUAUGUUUAGCAAGCUAAAAACAGUGUUGCUCAAUGAAUGGUGUUUGACUGCAAACUUCACUGGACUACUUUACUUUCUUCAGCACGCACCAAUUCUAGAAAAGCUUACCCUUCAACUUCCAUCUUGCAAGGAUUUUGACAUUGGAUCAAAUGGAAGCUACAGCCCAGCGGAAUAUUUCUUGGUGUCAAAGCAUCUCAAGGUAGUUGAAAUCCAUUGUAGCAAGGAGGAUGAAUGGACUUGUCAAAUUGUGAACAUCCUUGGCACUCAUGGAGUAACUUCUGUACGGAACAGGGAGGAUGAAUGGAUUUGUCAAAUUGUGAACAUCCUUGGUAUUCAUGGAGUAACUUCUGCGCAAAUUAGCAUCAAACAUGAUUCUCGGAAUUCUUUCAGGUUCAGUUUCCAGCAGACGAAGUAG